CACGUAGGCACCAAGCGUUGUCCGGAUUUAUUGGGCGUAAAGAGCUCGUAGGCGGCCUGUCGCGUCGGAUGUGAAAGCCCGGGGCUUAACCCCGGGUCUGCAUUCGAUACGGGCAGGCUAGAGUGUGGUAGGGGAGAUCGGAAUUCCUGGUGUAGCGGUGAAAUGCGCAGAUAUCAGGAGGAACACCGGUGGCGAAGGCGGAUCUCUGGGCCAUUACUGACGCUGAGGAGCGAAAGCGUGGGGAGCGAACAGG
rnacentral:rRNA from 1 species